rnacentral:rRNA from 1 species
UACGAAGGUGGCAAGCGUUGUUCGGAUUUACUGGGCGUACAGGGAGCGUAGGCGGUUGGGUAAGCCCCUUCGUGAAAUCUCCGGGCCUAACCCGGAAAGUGCGGAGGGGACUGCUCGGCUAGAGGAUGGGAGAGGAGCGCGGAAUUCCCGGUGUAGCGGUGAAAUGCGUAGAGAUCGGGAGGAAGGCCGGUGGCGAAGGCGGCGCUCUGGAACAUUUCUGACGCUGAGGCUCGAAAGCGUGGGGAGCAAACAGG